CAGCCACAGAACACCAGCCUACGCUUGAAGAUGACGUUAAGAUGUUUCUUUUGCAUUGUACUUAUUACAUCAUCGAUAUAAGAAGAUGUAAAGAAGUUCCUAUUACCUCAUUUUUGAGUUAUUAUUUUAAAUUAAAUAUAGCCAGGUGCUAUUUUAAAAUUUUUAUUCUUAUUUGAACUCUACGACCCAGCAUAUAACGACAUAUGUGGGCCCCUUAUAUGGGUUGUAUCCGGGAUAUACGUGGCCAUGGACUGAACAUAGUCAAGGGCACGCAGAAUGCGAUUUGGUCUCCAGACUCACCCGGCCGCGGUGAUGCACUGCACGCUUUCAGAAUGGACACAGCUGAGGUCCCCUGAGGAGCCAGCGAUCCGAACUCUGUCUCAUGGUAUCAGUCACUCUAUCUUGACUGACACAAGCAGCGCAUCAUUCAACCGCUGUUCACAUCAUGUUCAAAACUAAGACAACAGUAGUAAGUGUCUCCCCUUCUGUCACCCUGCCACCAUCAUCACAUCUCCACAAAUCCACACUGGCAUUUCCUUCUCGCUGAAGGCUCUUCUCACUGCCACUCACAGCCGCCAUUCAUUCUACCUCAAUCCCUUACAUUCAACUGAGAGCGAGCGAGAGAGUGAGAGAGAGA
rnacentral:lncRNA from 1 species